AUAACCUCUUUAUUUUUUAUUUUCACAAUAACUCGGGAUGUAAUCCCAUGGAGAGGAAAAAGGGGUAUCUUGUAAAUUCAAGGGUAGGGCUUGCAUUCUGAUAAUACUGAAUCAAUUCAAUAUUAUGAAUAUCGGAUCUAUCAAAUCAAUUCAUGGAUGAGAGUUAUAUAGUGUAACAUAGGAAGAUCCUAUAUCCAUACUAAGACCAAAAUGGGUUUUUUGAUUGGAUUAGGAAUUCCCUCUUUUUUAAUCCUUUUUUUUCUACUUUUUCUUUUCUAUAUCUCUAACCCACGAGCUUUCUUAAUCUUAUACAAUUUCUCUUCCUUUUUC
rnacentral:lncRNA from 1 species